UCAAAUACUGCUGGGUGAUAUUCUAAUGGUGUUUUCCUUUGGUGCUGCACUGAGGAAAGCAUCUGGAGAGGGUGCAGGAGGGUGAAAAAGCCAGACAUUUGCAAGUACAUAACAAACUGCACUUGAAAUUUCACACAAGAGCUUGUUGAUAUCUGCUCUGUGGGCUCUGAUGGUAGAAUGACACAUUAGAACUUGCCAGAGUCCUCACACCCGUGCUUCCACAGGCUAAGGCCCAAAUUAUUCUUCACUACUUAGGAAACUUGCUGCUUCCCAGAUAGUUGACACUUGAGUACCAAAUAAAUUUCUUUCCAGCUUCUGGGGGAAAAGGAAUCAUACUCUUGUUCCCCCAAAUCAAGUAGUCUAUCACAGCACCCCAGCUCAAAGUUGGUAUCACCCUUAAUAUUCCUUUAAUCCUGUCCAUGGUAGUUUUGCUACAGAGACCUCAUCAACCCUCAGUUUGCAUGCAAAACCAACUUGCUUCCUAUAUCCUCUUCUCUGGCAAACCCCACUGCCAACUAUUAAAAGGUAGACCCACUCGACAGCUUCCACAACCAGGCACUCUUGUGACAAAAGCCAGCGGUGUAUGAAACUCACAUACGCUGUGCCAAAGCUGGAGUAGUAAUGCAAUGCAAACACCAGGCAUGAGAGAACCACUGGAUUAUUUCUUGGAAAAAAAAGAUUUCUCCUUGAGUAGCUUUUCUUGGCAUAGCUGUCCUGAGAAGUACUCUCUCCUCCAGCUGUUCUCUGCAUCCUCAGAUAAGUGAGGUCACCUCCAGGGGUUAGCCAAGGGGUACAAAACCUAGAGGUGGCCAAGAGGCAGCAACCAUGCACAACAGUGUGGAUGAAUAAGCAGUUUGGUGCUGAGCCCUGACAGCACAG